rnacentral:rRNA from 1 species
CUUAAUUUGACUCAACGCGGGGAAACUCACCAGGUCCAGACACAAUAAGGAUUGACAGAUUGAGAGCUCUUUCUUGAUUUUGUGGGUGGUGGUGCAUGGCCGUUCUUAGUUGGUGGAGUGAUUUGUCUGCUUAAUUGCGAUAACGAACGAGACCUUGGCCUCUAACUAGGGUGCGCAGCGGUAGCUACGCGACCUUCUUAGGGGGACUAUUGAUGUAAGUCGAUGGAAGUUCGAGGCAAUAA